UCAUUUUGGGAUUGCUCAACAUUCAUUUGGAAAGUUAUCCUGUUUCUGAAUUUUUAAACAACUUAAUGUAAGAUUUACCAUAUUUUAAGUGUAUUACUCACAUGCAUUUAAUUAAGCAAGUUAAAACAUGUAGCAACCAGAAGCUAGUAUUUUUCCUAGUUAAACAGAGGCAUCAAGAACCUAACAGAAGUAAACUUGCACUUUUAUCUAUUUCCUUCCAUUUAUAGAGCAAAUAACAAGAUCACACCUAGCAUUCAAGCAUUUAACUCAACUCAGUGAGUUUCACAACUAAACUAGUGUUGCAAAAGUUCUAUUCAAAGCAAUCAUGCCAAAAGUAAAUCCACCGAGGUGGAUUCAUAUUUUUCUCAUUUUUCCAUGAUUUAUAAAG
rnacentral:lncRNA from 1 species